rnacentral:rRNA from 1 species
AUACGUAGGUGGCAAGCGUUGUCCGGAUUUACGUGGGCGUAAAGGGAGCGUAGGCGGAUUUUUAAGUGGGAUGUGAAAUACCCGGGCUUAACCUGGGUGCUGCAUUCCAAACUGGAAGUCUAGAGUACAGGAGGGGAAAGUGGAAUUCCUAGUGUAGCGGUGAAAUGCGUAGAGAUUAGGAAGAAUACCAGUGGCGAAGGCGGCUUUCUGGACUGUAACUGACGCUGAGGCAUGAAAGCGUGGGGAGC